CCCAUAGAUGUGGCUCUGCCCCAUAGAUGUGGCUCUGCCCCAUAGAUUUGGGACCCAUAGGGAUCUGCCCCAUAGAUGUGGGACCCCCAGAUCUGAUCCCCCCCCCAUGUACAGAGCCCAGCAG
rnacentral:lncRNA from 1 species